rnacentral:rRNA from 1 species
GACGAACGCUGGCGGCGUGCUUAACACAUGCAAGUCGAACGGAAAGGACCUGUUUGUAGGGUGCUUGAGUGGCGAACGGGUGAGUAACUCGUGGGUGAUCUGUCCCUUACUUUGGGAUAAGCCUGGGAUACUGGGUCUAAUACUGGCUAGGUCACUGCUUUAGGUGGUGUGGUGGAAAGUUUAGUUUCGGUAAGGGAUAAGCUCGCGGCCUAUCGGCUUGUUUGUGGGGUAAUGGCAUCCCAAGGCGUCGCCGGGUAGCGGGCCUGAGCGGGUGAACGGCCACAUUGGGACUGAGAUACGGCCCAGACACCUACGGGAGGGAGAUGGAGGGAAUAUUGCACAAUGGGCGCAAGCCUGAUGCAGCGACGCCGCGUGUGGGAUGACGGCCUUCGGGUUGUAAACUCCUUGCAGCCAUGACAAAGCCCUUGUGGUGACGGUAGUAGUAGAAGAAGGACCGGCUAACUACGU